UGGGGAAUAUUGGACAAUGGGCGAAAGCCUGAUCCAGCCAUGCCGCGUGUGUGAAGAAGGUCUUCGGAUUGUAAAGCACUUUAAGUUGGGAGGAAGGGUUGUAGAUUAAUACUCUGCAAUUUUGACGUUACCGACAGAAUAAGCACCGGCUAACUCUGUGCCAGCAGCCGCGGUAAUACAGAGGGUGCAAGCGUUAAUCGGAAUUACUGGGCGUAAAGCGCGCGUAGGUGGUUAGUUAAGUUGGAUGUGAAAUCCCCGGGCUCAACCUGGGAACUGCAUUCAAAACUGACUGACUAGAGUAUGGUAGAGGGUGGUGGAAUUUCCUGUGUAGCGGUGAAAUGCGUAGAUAUAGGAAGGAACACCAGUGGCGAAGGCGACCACCUGGACUGAUACUGACACUGAGGUGCGAAAGCGUGGGGAGCAAAUA
rnacentral:rRNA from 1 species